rnacentral:rRNA from 1 species
UCCACGCCCUAAACGAUGAGUGCUAGUCGUCGCUAAGCUAGUCUUAGCGGUGAUGCACCUAACGGAUUAAGCAUUCCGCCUGGGGAGUACGGUCGCAAGAUUAAAACUCAAAGGAAUAGACGGGGACCCGCACAAGUGGUGGAGCAUGUGGUUUAAUUCGAAAAUACGCGAAGAACCUUACCUAGCCUUGACAUUGAUUGAAUCCAGCAGAGAUGCAGGAGUGCCUUUCGGGGAACAUGAAAACAGGUGCUGCACGGCUGUCGUCAGCUCGUGUCGUGAGAUGUUGGGUUAAGUCCCG